UACGAAGGGGGCUAGCGUUGUUCGGAAUCACUGGGCGUAAAGGGCGCGUAGGCGGCUUUGUAAGUCGGGGGUGAAAGCCUGUGGCUCAACCACAGAAUUGCCUUCGAUACUGCAUGGCUUGAGACCGGAAGAGGUUAGUGGAACUGCGAGUGUAGAGGUGAAAUUCGUAGAUAUUCGCAAGAACACCAGUGGCGAAGGCGGCUGACUGGUCCGGUUCUGACGCUGAGGCGCGAAAGCGUGGGGAGCGAACAGG
rnacentral:rRNA from 1 species